AUACAUAUACAUAUACAUAUACAUAUACAUAUACAUACACACACAUAUAUCUAUGUGUGUAUGUGUGUUUGUGUAUGCAU